GAUAGUUGCCAUCAUUUGGUUGGGCACUUUAUCGAGACUGCCGGUGACAAACCGGAGGAAGGUGGGGAUGACGUCAAAUCAUCAUGCCCCUUAUGUCUUGGGCUUCACGCAUGCUACAAUGGCCGGUACAAAGGGCUGCGAUCCCGUAAGGGGGAGCGAAUCCCAAAAAGCCGGUCUCAGUUCGGAUUGGGGUCUGCAACUCGACCCCAUGAAGUCGGAGUCGCUAGUAAUCGCAGAUCAGCAACGCUGCGGUGAAUACGUUCCCGGGGCUUGUACACACCGCCCGUCAAGUCACGAAAGUCGGUAACACCCGAAGCCGGUGGCCCAACCCUUGUGGAGGGAGCCGUCGAAGGUGGGAUCGGUAAUUAGGACUAAGUCG
rnacentral:rRNA from 1 species